rnacentral:rRNA from 1 species
GAUGAACGCUGACAGAAUGCUUAACACAUGCAAGUCAACUUGAACUUCGGUUUGGGUGGCGGACGGGUGAGUAACGCGUAAAGAACUUGCCUCACAGCUAGGGACAACAUUUGGAAACGAAUGCUAAUACCUGAUAUUAUGAUUAUAUGGCAUCGUAUAAUUAUGACAGCUAUAUGCGCUGUGAGAGAGCUUUGCGUCCCAUUAGCUAGUUGGAGAGGUAACAGCUCACCAAGGCGAUGAUGGGUAGCCGGCCUGAGAGGGUGAUCGGCCACAAGGGGACUGAGACACGGCCCUUACUCCUACGGGAGGCAGCAGUGGGGAAUAUUGGACAAUGGACCGAGAGUCUGAUCCAGCAAUUCUGUGUGCACGAUGAAGUUUUUCGGAAUGUAAAGUGCUUUCAGUUGGGAAGAAAAAAAUGACGGUACCAACAGAAGAAGUGACGGCUAAAUACGU